rnacentral:rRNA from 1 species
UCGAGAAUCUUCCGCAAUGGACGAAAGUCUGACGGAGCGACGCCGCGUGCGGGAUGAAGGCCCUUGGGUUGUAAACCGCUGUCAGAGGGGAUGAAAUCAUGGUUGGCUAUCCUUCCAUGUUGACAGAGCCUCAGAGGAAGCACGGGCUAAGUACGUGCCAGCAGCCGCGGUAACACGUACUGUGCGAACGUUAUUCGGAAUCACUGGGCUUAAAGGGUACGUAGGCGGUUUAUCAAGUCAGGUGUGAAAUGCCAGAGCUCAACUGUGGCACUGCGCUUGAAACUGAUAGGCUAGAGUAUUCCAGGGGUGUGCGGAACUGCCAGUGGAGCGGUGAAAUGCGUUGAUAUUGGCAGGAACACCGGAGGCGAAGGCGGCACACUGGGGGAUAACUGACGCUGAGGUACGAAAGCCAGGGUAGCGAACGGGAUUAGAUACCCCCGUAGUCC